rnacentral:rRNA from 1 species
GCACUAGCGCGGUGGUCCCACCUGACCCCAUGCCGAACUCAGAAGUGAAACGCCGUAGCGCCGAUGGUAGUGUGGGGUCUCCCCAUGCGAGAGUAGGGAACUGCCAGAC